rnacentral:sRNA from 1 species
UGGUAGGUGAUGCCCCGUUCUUUAGCGGC